ACGGAAGUAUCCUAGUGGCGAACGGGUGAGUAACGCGUUGGUGACCUGCCCCAAAGUGUGGAAUAACAGUCCGAAAGGAUUGCUAAUACCGCAUGUGGUCUGCGAGUUUAGAAAUCGUUGACUAAAGGAGUAAUCCGCUUUGGGAGGGACCUGCGUCCCAUCAGCUAGUUGGUGAGGUAACGGCUCACCAAGGCGACGACGGGUAGGGGACCUGAGAGGGUGGCCCCCCACAAUGGAACUGAAACACGGUCCAUACACCUACGGGUGGCAGCAGUAGGGAAUAUUGCUCAAUGGGCGAAAGCCUGAAGCAGCAACGCCGCGUGUGCGAUGAAGGUCUUCGGAUCGUAAAGCACUUUUCUGAGAGAUGAGAAAGGACAGUAUCUCAGGAAUAAGUCUCGGCUAACUACGUGCCAGCAGCCGCGGUAAAACGUAGGAGGCGAGCGUUAUCCGGAUUCACUGGGCGUAAAGCGCGUGCAGGUGGUUCGGUAAGUUGGGCGUGAAAUCUCCCGGCUCAACUGGGAGAGGUCGUCCAAUACUACCGGACUUGAGAGCAGAAGAGGAAGAUGGAAUUCCCGGUGUAGUGGUGAAAUGCGUAGAUAUCGGGAGGAACACCAGUGGCGAAGGCGAUCUUCUGGUCUGUUUCUGACACUCAGACGCGACAGCUAGGGUAGUAAACGGGAUUAGAGACCCCGGUAAUCCUAGCCGUAAACGAUGUGAACUUGGCGUUGGUGGGUUAAACUCCAUCAGUGCCGCAGCAAACGCGAUAAGUUCACCGCCUGGGGACUACGGCCGCAAGGUUAAAACUCAAAGGAAUUGACGGGGGCCCGCACAAGCGGUGGAGCAUGUGGUUCAAUUCGACGCAACGCGAAGAACCUUACCUGGGCU
rnacentral:rRNA from 1 species